rnacentral:rRNA from 1 species
ACUCCUACGGGAGGCAGCAGUGGGGAAUAUUGCACAAUGGGGGAACCCUGAUGCACCAUGCCGCGUGUGUGAAGAAGGCCUUCGGGUUGUAAAGCACUUUCAGCGAGGAGGAAAGGGUNUGUGCUUAAAUACCAUACAUCUUGUGACGUUACUCGCAGAGAGACACCGCGUAACUCCGUGCCAGCAGCCGCGGUAAUACGGAGGGUGCGAGCGUUAAUCGGAAUUACUGGGCGUAAAGCGUGCGCAGGCGGUUUGUUAAGCGAGAUGUGAAAGCCCCGGGCUCAACCUGGAUUGCAUUUCGAACUGGCAGCUAGAGUCUUGUAGAGGGGGGUAGAAUUUCAGGUGUAGCGGUGAAAUGCGUAGAGAUCUGAAGGAAUACCGGUGGCGAAGGCGGCCCCCCUGGACAAAGACUGACGCUCAUGCACGAAAGCGU